rnacentral:lncRNA from 1 species
UUUUUUUAUAUUCUUUUGUUUUUUACUUUUUAUGCUGUUGUGAGAUAAUUUUGGGUUUCUUUUUUUGUUGACUUAACUCUUUGAUCUCAUCUUAGAGAAAGUUUAAUCAGUUUACAUUUUAUAUAUGAUUCAUUUAGAUAGGAUUUUAACACGAACAUUCCAAGUUUGAGUGAAGAGGCUAAUUCAAAAGCGAUUGCCUGGUGGGCCUCCUCUUAUAUGUGGCGCCGAUUUUUUUUGUACUCUAGCUGCUACUUCUAGAAAGCUCUCAUAAUUUUUUGUUAUCUUGCAAUCCAUACUUACUUUUAUGGAUUGCAAGAUAAUAUUUUAAACACGCAAAAUACAUGCUUAAAUAUAUUGUUCUCUACUAAUUUUUGAGACUAUAUUUAUUUCUCUUUUUUUGUCAUAUAUAAUUACUUUUCUCUCCCGUUGAUUAAUUUUCUAUUUCUACUGAUGAAGAGUAACAUAUGAUACAUAUUUGAUAAGAAACAUCUUGCUAAGCAGUAUUAAUUAAUUGGAUAAAAAAGAAAAUAAUUUGGCCAAAGAAAUCUUAUUUACUUACAGAAAAUGUAUGCCAGGGGCAUUUGAGUUUACAUCAAUUUUACUCUUUUACGAGUCAUACCUUGAUUCUGAAGUGGUAUUGAAGUGAACAAACUAAAUUGUUUUCCUAAGAGCUACAAAAUGAGUCUUAUUUUUUUUGUCAAAUAGUGAGAAUGUGAUAAAAAAUAUAUGGUAAUGAAUACCGUCAAAAAAGGGGUUCUAACUUUCUAGAUGGUUUUAGAUUAUGCAGGAUUCCAAGCUUAUGAAUUUUUGAAUCAUUUAUCAGUUAGUUUGUUGUCAUUUGUAAUAUAAAAGUUUGUAAUUUGGCAACUACUGUUGUGAAUAUUAUUUUGUACGUAAGGAUGGCAGAUUAUAUCUUUCGAUAUUCUUCAUUUUAUGUCAUAUAUAUGAUUCAUAUAUUUUAAAACUCAACUCUUCGGUUUCAUUUUCUUUUUUUAUUCAAAAGUGUAAUAAUUAUAUUUAUUCAUAAAUUGGUGCUACCAAGUUUUGGUCAUUGGAUUAAGAGAUAUGCGGUUAGAAUGGUGUGGGUCUCCUAGGAUUAAGUGGAUGGUUGGUUGAAUAGUAUGAUCUAACGGGUGAAAAUGAUCAAAAGAAUUGAUCUAAUGGUGAAAAAUUUGAUAGCACAAAGUGUUUCGUGCUAUUAAUAGUAUAGUAGUUGGA